AUGCAGAAGAGCGUGCGCUACAACGAGGGGCACGCCCUGCACCUGGCCCUCCUCGCCCGCAAGGAGGGCACCAAGCGCGGCUUCCUGGGCAAGAAGGCGGCCGAGGCGAGCCGCUGGCACGAGAAGUGGUUCGCCCUCUAUCAGAAUGUGCUCUUCUACUUCGAGGGCGAGCAGAGCGGCCGCCCGGCGGGCAUGUACCUGCUGGAGGGCUGCAGCUGCGAGCGGGCGGCCGCGCCGCCGAGACCCGGGGCCGGGCCGGGGGGCGCCCGGGACGCGCUGGAUAAGCAGUAUUACUUUACUGUUCUGUUUGGCCAUGAAGGGCAGAAGCCGCUGGAGCUGCGCUGUGAGGAGGAGCAGGAUGGCAAAGAAUGGAUGGAGGCCAUUCACCAAGCCAGUUAUGCAGACAUUUUGAUUGAGAGGGAAGUAUUGAUGCAGAAGUACAUUCAUCUAGUUCAGAUCGUAGAGACGGAAAAAAUCGCAGCUAACCAACUCCGACAUCAACUUGAAGACCAGGAUACAGAAAUUGAAAGACUUAAGUCUGAGAUUAUUGCUCUUAAUAAAACCAAGGAACGAAUGCGACCUUACCAAAGUAAUCAAGAAGAUGAGGACCCAGACAUCAAGAAGAUAAAAAAGGUUCAGAGUUUCAUGCGAGGAUGGUUAUGCAGAAGGAAAUGGAAGACCAUCGUGCAGGACUACAUCUGUUCUCCUCAUGCUGAAAGUAUGAGGAAGAGAAACCAGAUCGUGUUCACUAUGGUUGAGGCUGAGUCUGAGUAUGUCCACCAGCUCUACAUCUUGGUCAAUGGCUUCCUACGGCCCCUCCGAAUGGCAGCCAGUUCAAAGAAGCCACCCAUCAGCCACGAUGAUGUCAGCAGCAUUUUUCUCAACAGUGAAACAAUCAUGUUUCUUCAUGAGAUAUUCCAUCAAGGACUGAAGGCAAGGAUAGCAAACUGGCCUACUUUGAUAUUAGCUGAUUUGUUUGAUAUUUUGCUCCCCAUGCUGAACAUUUAUCAAGAAUUUGUGCGUAAUCACCAGUACAGCCUCCAAGUGCUUGCCAAUUGUAAGCAAAACAGAGAUUUUGACAAACUCUUAAAACAGUACGAAGCCAACCCUGCCUGUGAGGGGAGGAUGCUGGAAACAUUCUUGACCUACCCCAUGUUUCAGAUCCCCAGGUAUAUCAUCACACUUCAUGAACUCUUAGCUCACACUCCCCAUGAGCAUGUGGAGAGGAAAAGCCUGGAGUUUGCAAAAUCCAAACUAGAGGAACUGUCCAGGAUCAUGCAUGAUGAAGUGAGUGAUACUGAGAACAUACGGAAAAAUCUUGCCAUAGAAAGGAUGAUCGUUGAAGGCUGUGAUAUUUUGCUGGAUACCAGUCAAACCUUCAUCCGUCAAGGUUCCCUUAUUCAAGUACCUUCCGUUGAGAGGGGGAAACUUAGUAAAGUUCGCCUGGGUUCAUUGUCAUUGAAAAAGGAAGGAGAAAGACAGUGCUUCUUAUUUACAAAGCACUUUUUAAUUUGUACGAGAAGCUCAGGAGGAAAGCUACAUCUGCUCAAGACAGGUGGGGUUCUCUCGCUAAUAGAAUGUACACUGAUUGAGGAGCCUGAUGCGAGCGAAGAUGACUCCAAAGGUUCUGGGCACGUGUUCGGACACCUGGAUUUUAAGAUAGUGGUGGAGCCUCCGGAUGCAGCUCCGUUCACUGUGGUUCUCUUAGCACCUUCGCGCCAGGAGAAGGCUGCUUGGACAAGCGACAUAAGUCAGUGUGUGGACAAUAUCCGGUGCAAUGGCUUAAUGACCAUAGUGUUUGAAGAGAAUUCCAAAGUUUCUGUGCCACAUAUGAUCAAGUCCGACGCUCGUCUUCAUAAAGAUGACACCGAUAUUUGCUUUAGUAAAACACUCAAUUCCUGCAAAGUGCCACAAAUCCGUUAUGCCAGCGUGGAGCGCCUUUUGGAGAGGCUGACAGACUUGAGAUUUCUUAGUAUUGAUUUCCUCAACACCUUUCUGCACACCUAUCGUAUUUUCACCACAGCAGCUGUUGUCCUGGCCAAGCUUUCUGACAUAUACAAGAAGCCCUUCACCUCCAUUCCUGUCAGGUCACUGGAGCUGUUUUUUGCCACCAGUCAGAACAACAGAGGGGAACAUUUGGUGGAUAGCAAGUCUCCACGUUUGUGUCGCAAAUUCUCAUCCCCACCGCCCCUGGCCGUGUCCAGAACAUCCUCCCCAGUGAGGGCCAGGAAGCUGUCUUUGACUUCUCCCUUGAACUCAAGGAUAGGAGCGCUGGACCUGACCACUUCCUCCACAUCCAGUAGCCCUACCGCCACCCAGAGUCCUGUGGCAUCCCCCCCACCACACGCAGCAGCAGUCCCGGAGUCGGCAGCAGUGGACCGAGCAGCAGUGGUGGGUUCUGUGCCCUCAGACACCUCAGAGCUGUCGCCUUGCAGGUCUCCCUCAACCCCAAGGCAUCUCCGCUAUCGCCAGGCGGGAGGACAGACAGCUGACAACUCCCACUGUUCUGUUUCACCUGCUUCUGCUUUUGCAAUCGCCACGGCUGCAGCAGGACAUGGAAACCCACCAGGCUUUAACAACACUGAGAGAACAUGCGACAAAGAGUUUAUUAUACGGAGAACAGCCACCAAUCGAGUUCUGAAUGUCCUCCGUCACUGGGUCUCAAAGCACGCUCAGGAUUUUGAACUCAACAACGAACUAAAGAUGAAUGUCCUAAAUUUGCUAGAAGAAGUUUUGCGAGACCCAGACCUGCUUCCCCAAGAAAGAAAAGCUACAGCAAAUAUACUGAGAGUCCUUUCACAAGAUGAUCAAGAUGAUAUCUACCUAAAAUUAGAAGAUAUAAUUCAACUGACAGACUGUCCGAAAGCUGAAUGCUUUGAGACUUUGUCAGCCAUGGAACUGGCCGAGCAGAUCACCCUUCUAGACCACAUCAUUUUCAGAAGCAUCCCCUACGAAGAGUUCCUUGGGCAGGGAUGGAUGAAACUGGAUAAAAAUGAAAGAACACCCUAUAUUAUGAAGACCAGCCAACACUUCAAUGAUAUGAGUAACCUGGUGACCUCCCAGAUAAUGAAUUACCCAGACAUCACCUCCCGUGCCAACGCGAUCGAGAAGUGGGUGGCAGUGGCGGACAUUUGCCGAUGCCUGCAUAACUACAAUGGCGUGCUGGAGAUCACCUCAGCCUUAAACAGAAGUGCCAUCUACAGGCUGAAGAAAACCUGGGCCAAGGUGUCCAAGCAGACAAAAGCUUUAAUGGACAAGCUGCAGAAGACUGUUUCAUCUGAAGGAAGAUUUAAAAAUCUCAGAGAAACCCUUAAAAACUGUAACCCUCCAGCUGUCCCUUACCUGGGCAUGUAUCUGACAGACCUGGCAUUUAUUGAAGAAGGAACACCAAAUUUUACUGAGGAAGGCCUUGUCAAUUUCUCCAAGAUGAGAAUGAUAUCACAUAUCAUCAGAGAGAUACGCCAGUUCCAGCAGACUUCCUAUCGAAUCGACCAUCAGCCGAAGGUCACUCAGUACUUGCUUGACAAAGCCCUCAUCAUCGAUGAAGAUACUCUCUAUGAACUGUCACUAAAAAUUGAACCCCGGCUUCCUGCUUGAAGAUCUGGCCUUGCCCUUGAGUCCAUGGCAUUCUCAUGGAAAGCGGGAGGGACAGGACUGUGCAUGCCAUGCUCCCCACAGCGCAGCGAGGAUGUGGGAGACAAAGCUAGUCCCCUCUGUUCACCAAAGAAGGUGUAACCAAACUGGACCUCUGUCUCCGGCUAGGAGAAGCCCAGUUGCUUGGGAUCAAAGACAGAUGCUUCAGAUUGGGGUGGGAACAUGAACAGAUUGCUCUUUAGUAAAAAAAAAAAAAAAAAAAAAAGGCACAUUUUGCAUGAGGGAAGGUAAGAUGUGAGACCCUAGUGGCCAUUUUAAUGAAGCAGGUAAGAAGGUACAUUUCAAACUGUGCCCCGUGUCCUGUUAGAAUUCGGGGGACUGAGGGUCCGCAGGAAAGGCCUGUGAUACUUCCUAGGCACUUUACUGGCCUUGGUAAACCUACCAGCUUUCUCCUCAGAUUGAAGGGCUCCUGUUGCAUUUCCUUUGCUACAAGUUUCACAGGACACAUGAGCAAUUUCAGCUGAAGCAUGUGCUUGGUUUUCUAACCACCUAGAUGAGAGGAAGAACAUGUUCUGCAAUGGCCUCUUCAGUCUCUAGUCCAAAAGACAGGGAAGAAACGAUGCAGGACAAGUGGACUUGUGGGUGACACUUCCUUGAUCAAAUUUCCAAUAAGAGGUCAAUGCAUCUUGCAGCAUGAUAAGAAGCAUGGGCUAUCUGGAUCCUGCCAAUGCACAACUUGCAAUUCACUUCUUAGUAUGCAGAAACUGAGUUUGUGAACUAAUAUAUCAUUUGCACCAAACACUUCAAGGUCUGGCAGAAGGAAAGAGAAAGUUGAGGUUCACUUGCCUGUCCUAAAUGCAUAGUCCUCCUGCAAGGUCAGCGAAAGCCAAGGUGAACUUGAGAAAAGACCACACACAAAGUUGCAGGCAAAAUAAUGUGGCUCUACGAUACAUUAAAUUCUUCUUUGCACUUUCUCUGGAAGUUUGGACCCUUAUUCCUCUGACCCAUACGACCCAGAGGUACUGCAACCUUUUGUAUGUAUUAAAGGAAACAAUGAGAUAAAGGAUGUCUCCCCUUUUAGAAAGCAGUUUUUCUCCAUUUAUGAUGACGCUUUCAGGUCUACUUCGUGCAGAACGUUGGAAGCGCCCCCCAGUGGCCAUUUGUGGGCACUGUCGGUUGCUCCGUUGCUUUUUAAUAAUAAUAUUGUCGAGUUAGCCAGCUCUCCAACAUCCUAGGAGUUUGGAGAUUUGCAGGUCUUGUAAGAGAACUCCAUCUGCAGGGGGAGUUUCUUUAGAUGACUUGCACCACUUCUGGGCCAACUGCGAUAGGAGUAAACAUUUGAAAAAAAAAAAAAAAACCACAAUCAGUCCUGUUGCACUUCUGGGCCGACUGGGAUAGGAGUAAACAUUUGAAAAAAAAUAAUAAUCAGUCCUGUUGAAAAUUUCCAAGAGCAGCUUGUCGUGUUGCUUUUGAUUGUUGAAGUGCCCCUCGUCUCGCCUUGCAAACUUUGUGUGGCUCGUUUGUGUCCUCUCCUGGAAGCAUCUACCUAUAUCCCAUUAUUUGAGACUCGGUUCUUAUUAUAUUUAUUAUUGCCACCAGCAUCGUCGCCGGGGCUCAGCACUACGAAUCCAUUGCUCCUGGCAGCCAUUUUUUCCUUUUUUCCUCGCCCCCUUUCUGCUUUAUUUGACAGGACAGAGAGAAAUUGAGAGGGAAGGGGAGAUAGUGAAGGACAGAGAAAGAUGCCUGUAGACCUGCUUCACCGCUUGUGAAGCAGAACCCCUGCAGGUGGGGAGCGAGGGCUUGAACCUGGGUCCUUGUGCGUGGUGAUAACUUGCACUUAACUUGUGCCACCACCAGGCUCCCCAAGAUCCAGUUCUAAGAGGGAACUGGUUGGCCUCUGACAAUCACCUCCAAUUACCUAGCUUAUUACCAAGUUAAACUGGAAAAAAAAAUGAAAUCCAAGUUUCGACUUCCAGCUGUAUCCUCACAUCUUGUGCCGUCAACGAAACUAUCUUGGAGCUUUUAGGAGAUGCUGUUGGUUAUUAAGUAAGACAACCAGUUUUUCUUUUUUUAAAUAUUUUUUAUUAAUUUAUUAUUGGAUAGAGACAGACAGAAAUUGAGGGGGGGGAGAUAGCGAAGGAGAGAGUCAGAGACAGAGAGACAUCUGCAGCCCCGCUUCACCACUCCUGAAGCCUUUCCCCUGCAGAUGGGUACCAGGGGCUUGAACCUGUGUCCUUGUGCACUGCAGUGUGUGGGGUGCGCCACCACCUGGCCCCAGACAAACAGUUUUUCUAGAGGAACAAAUCUCUUCAGCUUUUAGUUGAAAGCUUCAGGUAUGAAGUCAAAAUUUUCCCAUUUCUUUAGUGUUCCUUCAAAGGAAAUUUAAAGAGGGGAUUUUUAAACUUCUGCUGCAAUAUUUGCAAGUGGCUCUCAUACAAAGUCCCUGUUUCUGUUUAUUAAAUGUCAUUUGUCUUAAAAUGUUAUUUACACACAAAUAAACAACCCCCAGCACCACAAGCCAGAGCUGAGAAGUGCUUUUGUCAAGAGGGGGAAAGGGAAAACAAAAACAAAUGAACCUUAUUGAUACCAAAAACCUGGAAGAGAAAAUCGAUCCUGGUCCCUCUCCAACUGAGCAUAUGAUGGGCCUGCAUAGUAUUUCAUGAGAAAUGUUUGCCUGGCUAGCAAUGACAGGGUUGCUUUUAAAUUCUUAACUAAGAAGAGCAAGACAAUAAAGGGAUGAUUCCCAGUAAACCAAAAUUUUAUUUUAAAAAUGAAGGAAUUUAACUUUUAUCUCAGUUUUAUUGAUUUGCCCUGAAAAAUAUUUUUCUUUGCUUUAAAAAUGUAAGAUAUUCUUUUUAAAGAAAAAAACUCCAGCCUGGGAAGUGAAUUUUUACUGCUUUUGAAAUUGGGUAAAAAGAGAUAGCAUAUUACUUAUGGCUAGAGAACUCAACCAGUAUCCGGAGACCGAAGAAGGUUAAAUGAAGAAGGGUUUUCACUUCUGUCAGACAACAGGUUGGAAGCUUAAAUAAUGACUUAAUUAUAGCCGCCCUAUGUGAAGCCAGGUUAUAAGACUUGAGUCAAUGAAGCCUAAUUAAAGUGUCAUUUCUCUGUGCUUAUUAGUGACUUAGAAUUAAGGCAACGCAGAGCUAAAGCAGAAGACAGUCAUCUUGGUGUAGGUGUAAAUACAUGAAUGAUUUUGAAAAUCACUCAUUUGGGCUGGCGCACGGCUCAGCAUUAGCAACAGGGAUGAUUAGAUUUGACCUCCCUGCUCAAGAAAUAUAAUGGCUUCUCUUUAGUGAUGUGGAACCCCUGUCUUUUAUACAACCCGUUUCAUUUCUCCAAAGCCUGCAGCUGUAAAGAAGCACUGGGUUCAGCCCUACAUCUCCAAGCUGGGAGACAAGAAGCAAGCGCUAAACCUUCUCUGCGCCUCAGUUUCCUCAUGAGAAGUGGUUGCCUGGCUAGUAAUGACGGGGUUGCUUUUAAAGUCUUAACUAAAGAGAGCAAGACAAUAAAGGGAUGAUUCCCGAUAAACCAAAAUUUUAUUUUAAAAAUGAAGGAAUUUAACUUUUAUCUCGGAUUUAUUGAAUUGCCCUGAAAAAUAUUUUAAAUGUUUUCAAAUGGAGCUAGUAGUAGAUUCUUGUGCUGACAGGGCUGUUAUCAAAAUGAGUUAAACUAGAAAGUGUUGUUCAGAGGGAGGCAGCAUGAGUACUGUACUCAUAUUCCUUGGUUACUGUGUGUGUGAUGUUAACUUUGAGAAGCAGGUUUAUUUUUUCCUGUCUUUCGUUAUGUUUGCAUUAUCUGUUGAUGUUUGUGAUUCUGACAGAGGGGUCUGUGCUGUGGUCUUGCUGGGUGAGGCAUGGGUUACACUAUAUACACAUUAAAAUUUGCCUUCCUCACAUAA